GCUCCCCUGAAAGCCCAGCUCACCCCACUGAGGCCCAACUACAUAGUAAAGUGUCUGUGGGUCCCAGCGAAGCUCUACCCGGUCCCUGCCUGGGAACCACCAUUUCUGUGCUGUUCGGUGAUGGGUAGUGUUCCCGCCUCACUUUCUGAGUUGGCCGCUGGGUCCCGGCUGGCUGCCCCUCUGCUCACCACUCUGGGGGGCGGGUCCCGAGAAGGAAGAAGUCUUUCUUCGAGACCUGACUUAUGACUGGGCCACCACCGUCCUGUGAAGCCGUUGGCCGCUGACCAAAACAUGUGUAUUUUUCCUCUUUGAACAGACAUAUGGGUGGCAUACAGAUUUAUCCUGGGAGAGAGCGUAUUGUUCUAAGUUGUCCCGGCAUCUCUUAAUACUGCAGCAUAAUGCUUACUAACUAAUAGUAGUUACGGUUAUGAACAGCAUUUAGUAGUAUGUACAGGGCCCAGCAAACUUUCCCUGUAAAGGGCCAGAUUCUCAAUAUUAUAGCCUCUGGCCACAUGACCUCAACUCUGCUAGCGUGUGGGAGCAAUAAUAAUGGAUAGGGUGUCUGUGUUCCAAUAAAACUUUAUUUGUGACACUGAAGUGAGAAUUUCAUAUACUUUCCACAUGUCACAAAAUAGUCUUCUUUAGCUUACUUCCCUCCCAACAACUUAAAAAUGUCAAGUCAUUCCUAGCUUGCAAGGCUUCCAGAGCCAGGCGGCGGCCAGGGGCUGGGAGCAGAUCUGCUCUGCGGACCCUUUUUGUAGUAAAAAGAGCCCAGGGCUUACACCUCGGCACCUGGACUGGACCGGGGCCUGUGGUUCGCAGGCCUUGUGACCCGGGGGCCAGGCGGGAUUUGCCUACCCCCUGGAUUUCCAUUUAUAACAUGGAAAUUCUAGCGCUCAGCUCCCCGAGGGAAUGAAGUGGGGUAGUUUGAGUAAGUGCUCAGACACCGCGCGCAGUAGGGCAUAAUGUCGUCUCGUUACUGUACACACUGUGCUCCAUCAAUGUUUCUAGUGGCCUGAGCCAGCUCUACUUCCAAAUGCCGCUCUGCGUCUGCAUCUCCCCCCCGGACAGCAGGGGCAGAGAGAGUGGGAAGAGGCGUACUUUACUCCAUUUUAAUUAAAGGUAUAGGUUGGCCCUAAAGUCUAGAAACAAGAUAAUAUUAUCGAUGAAUUGCCUGUGUUGCCUGUAUUCUGACUUUACAGCCAUCCACCGAAAGGAGCUCCUGGGAGAGAGUAUCUACCGUGUCUGCAGGACAUUUCAUUUCCAACCACCCUGCUGUGAACCACAGAGUACCACCCAGGCCGAGGGAAGGAAGGCUGAAGACUUGUCAGACUGACGGCAAGCUGUCUUGGAAAAGACUACGGAUAAAAAAUCUUGAAUUGCUCAGCUAACCAUAUGAUUUCACAUUCUUGCGGCGAGUUCAAGUAUAGUUUCUAACAGCAUUUUUAUAGCCUUCUUCUCUAUCCAUCUUUACAAAUAGUUUCUGAACCUCCCUAAGAUACCUGCUUAAAUCUAAAUAAAAAAAAGCAAAGGGGGAAAAAAGUAAGAAACCGAAAUAUAAGAAAGUGUAGGGAGGGAAGACAUUUGGAGACUUCAACAUUUCGGCUUUAUGUGAAGUCGUAAGUAAUUUUGAAAUUAGGAUGUAAUGGAAAACAGACCUUAGCACCCUCACCUGGUUAAACCCGGAAGAGGAAAUUGUGCUUGAGAGACAGGUUGGCACUUUCAGGGACAGUAGCUGAUUUCAGGGAGGAAACAUGAGUUACUGAACUAUGGGAACGGACCUGGGACUGGAGGAAAGAGCACAGGAGAGGGACGGAUGGAGGAGGGGUGGGCACAGGGCACCUUCUCCUGGACCAGUGGCUGGGAUGCCGGGUUUCCAAGGAACCGCAAAGCGAUGACCCGGCAUUACCCAGAUGUGCUCAUUGCCAGGGGACACCCGAGACACAAACAACUGCAGCUACACGAAGCAGACACAGAUCGGGGUCAACUGGAGCAAACGGCCACCUUCGGCUCAAAGUGCCUCUCCAGCGAAUGGACCCCCCAUGGUUUUAUGGAAAAGAGACUCCGAUACACCAACCAGACACCACAAUACCAAUCGAGAGUGAUUCUUAUUCCUUAUGGGUGCUGCUGCAUUAAAAUAGGCUUAUUUAUUUUCAUCGCA